UACGUAGGGGGGCGAGCGUUGUCCGGAUUUAUUGGGCGUAAAACGCUUGUAGGCGGCCACCGCGCGUCGGACGUGAAAUCUCCCCGGCUCAACUGGGAGGGGUCGUGCGAUACGGCGGGGCUCGAGGCCGGUAGGGGGACGCGGAAUUCCCGGUGUAGAGGUGAAAUUCGUAGAUAUUCGCAAGAACACCAGUGGCGAAGGCGGCUCACUGGUCCGGUACUGACGCUGAGGUGCGAAAGCGUGGGGAGCAAACAGG
rnacentral:rRNA from 1 species